GAUUUCAGCUGAAAAAGUCAUCAACAACAAAGUUGUAUAACUCGUCAAUAUCUAUAACUUUUAUUUUAGUCAUUUCUUCAUCCGACAAAGUGAUAGUAACAUUGUUCACAAAAUUUACAUAUCUUAUAUGGUUUUAUAAACUAUAAGAGAGAUAUGUAAAUUUUUUGAAAAUAUUACUAUCACUUUAUCGGAUGAAGAAAUGACCAAAAUAAAAGUUAUAGAUCUUGAUGAGCUAUACAACUUUGUUAUUGAUGACUUUUUCAGCUAAAAUU
rfam:Oryza glumipatula chromosome 5, whole genome shotgun sequence.